rfam:Myotis lucifugus cont2.42011, whole genome shotgun sequence.
GGUGGUUUUCGGUUGACACACCCCAGAAUCGGACACCCUCCUUUUUGGUUCUGGGUGCAUCACCUGAGAACUGCA